rnacentral:rRNA from 1 species
UCGAGAAUCUUCCGCAAUGGACGAAAGUCUGACGGAGCGACACCGCGUGAUUGAUGAAGUCCCUCUGGGACGUAAAGAUCUUUUAUGAGGGAAGAAGUUUAUUGACGGUACCUCAUGAAUAAGGGGCUCCCAAUCUCGUGCCAGCAGGAGCGGUAAUACGAGAGCCUCAAGCGUUAUCCGGAAUUAUUGGGCGUAAAGGGUGUGUAGGUGGUUAUACUAGUCUCAUGUUAAAGACCCAAGCUCAACUUGGGGAUCGCGUGGGAAACGGUAUGACUAGAGAGUGUGAGGGGUUUGCGGAACUCAUGGUGUAGGGGUGAAAUCCGUUGAUAUCAUGGGGAACACCAAAAGCGAAAGCAGCAAACUGGCGCACAUCUGACACUGAAACACGAAAGCGUGGGUAGCGAAUGGG